rnacentral:tRNA from 1 species
CAAAAUAUAGCUUAAUUAAAAAGCGCUCAGCCUACGCCUGAAAACUGUCUAUUAAAUAAGACUAUUUUGA